UGGGACGGUUAGUUAUCCUCUAUUGGAGCCA
rnacentral:piRNA from 1 species